CCUACGGGUGGCAGCAGUGGGGAAUAUUGCACAAUGGGCGAAAGCCUGAUGCAGCAACGCCGCGUGAGGGAAGAAGGGUUUCGGCUCGUAAACUUCUAUCAACAGGGACGAAAGAAAUGACGGUCCCUGCAGAAGAAGCCCCGGCUAACUACGUUCCAGCAGCCACGGUAAUACGUAUGGGGCAGGCGUUAUCCGGAAUUAAUGGGUGUAAAGGGUGAGUAGGCGGCAUGGUAAGCCAGAUGGGAAAGCCUUGGGCUUAAACCGAGGACCGGAUGUGGAACUAGCAGGCUAGAGUACAGGAGAGGAAAGCGGAAUUCGCAGUGUAGCGGUGAAAUGCGUAGAUAUCAGGAAGAACACCAGUGGCGAAGGCGGCUUUCUGGCUUGAAACUGACGCUGAGGCACGAAAGCGUGGGGAGCGAACAGGAUGAGAUACCCGGGUAGUC
rnacentral:rRNA from 1 species